rnacentral:rRNA from 1 species
UCGAGUCGGCCUGCGCGGAAGAUGUAACGGGGCUAAACCAUGCACCGAAGCUGCGGCAGCGACACUGUGUGUUGUUGGGUAGGGGAGCGUUCUGUAAGCCUGUGAAGGUGUGUCGUGAGGCAUGCUGGAGGUAUCAGAAGUGCGAAUGCUGACAUAAGUAACGAUAAAGCGGGUGAAAAGCCCGCUCGCCGGAAGACCAAGGGUUCCUGUCCAACGUUAAUCGGGGCAGGGUGAGUCGACCCCUAAGGCGAGGCCGAAAGGCGUAGUCGAUGGGAAACGGGUUAAUAUUCCCGUACUUGGUGUUACUGCGAAGGGGGGACGGAGAAGGCUAUGUUGGCCGGGCGACGGUUGUCCCGGUUUAAGCGUGUAGGUGUGUGUUCCAGGUAAAUCCGGUUCACUUUAACACUGAGGCGUGACGACGAGGCACUACGGUGCUGAAGCAACAAAUGCCCUGCUUCCAGGAAAAGCCUCUAAGCAUCAGGUAACAUCAAAUCGUACCCCAAACCGACACAGGUGGUCAGGUAGAGAAUACCAAGGCGCUUGAGAGAACUCGGGUGAAGGAACUAGGCAAAAUGGUGCCGUAACUUCGGGAGAAGGCACGCUGACACGUAGGUGAAGUGAUUUACUCAUGGAGCUGAAGUCAGUCGAAGAUACCAGCUGGCUGCAACUGUUUAUUAAAAACACAGCACUGUGCAAACACGAAAGUGGACGUAUACGGUGUGACGCCUGCCCGGUGCCGGAAGGUUAAUUGAUGGGGUCAGCGCAAGCGAAGCUCCUGAUCGAAGCCCCGGUAAACGGCGGCCGUAACUAUAACGGUCCUAAGGUAGCGAAAUUCCUUGUCGGGUAAGUUCCGACCUGCACGAAUGGCGUAAUGAUGGCCAGGCUGUCUCCACCCGAGACUCAGUGAAAUUGAACUCGCUGUGAAGAUGCAGUGUACCCGCGGCAAGACGGAAAGACCCCGUGAACCUUUACUAUAGCUUGACACUGAACAUUGAGCCUUGAUGUGUAGGAUAGGUGGGAGGCUUUGAAGUGUGGACGCCAGUCUGCAUGGAGCCGACCUUGAAAUACCACCCUUUAA